CAGCAGCCGCGGUAAUACGUAGGGUGCGAGCGUUAAUCGGAAUUACUGGGCGUAAAGCGUGCGCAGGCGGCUUUGCAAGACGGAGGUGAAAUCCCCGGGCUCAACCUGGGAACUGCCUUUGUGACUGCAAGGCUAGAGUACGGCAGAGGGGGAUGGAAUUCCGCGUGUAGCAGUGAAAUGCGUAGAUAUGCGGAGGAACACCGAUGGCGAAGGCAAUCCCCUGGGCCUGUACUGACACUCAUGCACGAAAGCGUGGGGAGCAAACAGGAUUAGAUACCCUGGUAGUCCACGCCCUAAACGAUGUCAACUGGUUGUUGGACGGCUUGCUGUUCAGUAACGAAGCUAACGCGUGAAGUUGACCGCCUGGGGAGUACGGCCGCAAGGUUGAAACUCAAAGAAAUUGACGG
rnacentral:rRNA from 1 species